rnacentral:rRNA from 1 species
GGGCCUUGCGGCGUGCUAUACAUGCAGUCGAGCGGACAGAAGGGAGCUUGCUCCCGGAUGUUAGCGGCGGACGGGUGAGUAACACGUGGGUAACCUGCCUGUAAGACUGGGAUAACUCCGGGAAACCGGAGCUAAUACCGGAUAGUUCCUUGAACCGCAUGGUUCAAGGAUGAAAGACGGUUUCGGCUGUCACUUACAGAUGGACCCGCGGCGCAUUAGCUAGUUGGUGAGGUAACGGCUCACCAAGGCGACGAUGCGUAGCCGACCUGAGAGGGUGAUCGGCCACACUGGGACUGAGACACGGCCCAGACUCCUACGGGAGGCAGCAGUAGGGAAUCUUCCGCAAUGGACGAAAGUCUGACGGAGCAACGCCGCGUGAGUGAUGAAGGUUUUCGGAUCGUAAAGCUCUGUUGUUAGGGAAGAACAAGUGCAAGAGUAACUGCUUGCACCUUGACGGUACCUAACCAGAAAGCCACGGCUAACUACGUGCCAGCAGCCGCGGUAAUACGUAGGUGGCAAGCGUUGUCCGGAAUUAUUGGGCGUAAAGGGCUCGCAGGCGGUUUCUUAAGUCUGAUGUGAAAGCCCCCGGCUCAACCGGGGAGGGUCAUUGGAAACUGGGAAACUUGAGUGCAGAAGAGGAGAGUGGAAUUCCACGUGUAGCGGUGAAAUGCGUAGAGAUGUGGAGGAACACCAGUGGCGAAGGCGACUCUCUGGUCUGUAACUGACGCUGAGGAGCGAAAGCGUGGGGAGCGAACAGGAUUAGAUACCCUGGUAGUCCACGCCGUAAACGAUGAGUGCUAAGUGUUAGGGGGUUUCCGCCCCUUAGUGCUGCAGCUAACGCAUUAAGCACUCCGCCUGGGGAGUACGGUCGCAAGACUGAAACUCAAAGGAAUUGACGGGGGCCCGCACAAGCGGUGGAGCAUGUGGUUUAUUUCGAAGCAACGCGAAGAACCUUACCAGGUCUUGACAUCCUCUGACAACCCUAGAGAUAGGGCUUUCCC